rnacentral:rRNA from 1 species
CCUACGGGGGGCUGCAGUGAGGAAUAUUGGUCAAUGGACGAGAGUCUGAACCAGCCAAGUAGCGUGAAGGAUGACUGCCCUAUGGGUUGUAAACUUCUUUUAUAUGGGAAUAAAAUGUUCCACGUGUUGGAUUUUGUAUGUACCAUAUGAAUAAGGAUCGGCUAACUCCGUGCCAGCAGCCGCGGUAAUACGGAGGAUCCGAGCGUUAUCCGGUUUUAUUGGGUUUAAAGGGUGCGCAGGCGGUAUUUUAAGUUAGUGGUAAAACGUCGGGGCUUAACCUUGGUUGGCCAUUAAAACUGGAGUACUAGAGUACAGACGAGGUAGGCGGAAUGAGGUAAGUAGCGGUGAAAUGCUUAGAUAUA